rnacentral:rRNA from 1 species
UGGCGGACGGGUGAGUAACGCGUGGGCAACCUGCCCCAUACAGGGGGAUAACAGCCGGAAACGGCUGCUAAAACCGCAUAAGCGCACAAGGGCCGCAUGGCCUGGUGUGAAAAACUCCGGUGGUAUGGGAUGGGCCCGCGUCUGAUUAGCUAGUUGGCGGGGGAGAGGCCCACCAAGGCGACGAUCAGUAGCCGACCUGAGAGGGUGGCCGGCCACAUUGGGACUGAGACACGGCCCAAACUCCUACGGAAGGCAGCAGG